GCGCUCCCGCCGGCCCGUGCUCCCCAGCCCCAGCCCGGGCCCGCGCCCGCGCCGGCGCCCAGGUGAGCGCCCCGCCCACCGCGAGGCCCAGCCCGGGUCCGCCCCCGGCCCGCCCUGGCCGGCCCAGGGGAACUGGGCGGAUUCCUCGAGUGUCAAACCACCUGAUUCCAUAAGACAUUCAUCCUCCCGGAGGCCCGCGCCGCCCUCGCCCUGCACGCCUAGCGUUGUCCCGCGGCCAGGCCCGGCCGGAGCGGCGGCGCCUGGAUGUGGACCUGGCUGCGGGGAGACGGGCGCCGGCCCCAAAGCGACUUUCGGUCCUCGACGCGCCCCGCCCCACCCCUGCGAUGAAGAGGGCGUCUGCUGGAGGUUCCAGGCCCCGAUUCCCUUAUCCUGGGGGACGACAGCAUCCAUAGCCUGGACUUUGUGUCGAGCCGAGCCUGGACUUCCCUGACUAUGGGCCCGGGGGCCUGCACGCAGCCUACCUGCCAUCCCCACCGCUCAGCGCCUCUGAUGCCUUCUCAUUGCUUUGUGCUCCCUGAGCCUCAAGGCCUCAAGCCGGCAGGGCGGGGACUACGUGGCCCUGCAGCCCCUGUGCUCCGAGGGUGGGCCUCCCAUGCCCCACCGUAGCAUCUUUGCCCCCCCAUGCACUGCCCAACCACAAUCGCAGCCUGUCCUACAAUAAUGUGCUCAACCCUGGCUCGCCUGGUGGCCACGCCUGCCUCGCCCAUCCAGCAGUUGGCGUGGCCGGAUACCACUCACCCUACCUGCACCCUGGGGCAACGGGCGACCCACCAUGGCCCCUGCCCCACAGCUUCAGUCCCGUGCUGGGCCCCCGGCCCCAGGAGCCCUCGCCUGUGCUCUACGACAUCCUGUCCAGGACCAUCAUGGCAUCCAUCCAGGAGCGCAAGGACAGGGAGGAGCGUGAGUGCCUGCUGCGCUCCCAGGCCGACUCACUCUUCGGCGACUCAGGCGUCUAUGAUGCUCCCAGCUCCUACAGCCUGCAGCAGGCCAGUGUGCUGUCUGAGGGCUUCCGAGGUCCUACGCUGUGCUACAGCUCUACAGAUGACCUUGUGGCCAGGCCCGGCUUCGGCGGCGCCUGCAACCCUGUCCUGCAGACAUCAUUGUCCUCGCUUUCCAGCUCCGUGAGCCGUGCACUGCGGACGUCGUCCUCCUCCCUGCAGGCUGAUCAGGUGGGGAAGCUGAGGCAGGAAGCCCUUUAGUCACUUGCCGAAGGCCACGCUGUUACCCAUGGGACCGGUUUUGGGCGGCCGAAGAGCACUCAUGGGGCCGGAUUCACGCCCCAGGCCCGUUCCCUCCUGCUCUCUGGUGCUCCUCACGCCAUUGGCCCCACUGCCUCUCACUGCCCGUGAGUCCCUGUGCCCGUGUCCUCCUUCUUGAACCCCUCAGCCCUCAGUUAACCCUCAGAAAGCUGGCUCGGAGAAGUCCUUGUGUGGUAUCUGGGAGGCAGAGUUUGCCGUGAGCCGAGAUUGUGCCACUGCACGCACUCCAGCCUGGGCGACAGAGCGAGACCCCAUCUCAAAAAAAAAAAAAAAAAGGCCUCACGGGACUAGAAGCGUCUUACCCUGACCUCACACCUGCUGGACAUCAGGCUGGGGAGAGAAUCGGGGAAGAGGGCAUUUUCCAACAGGACUGGAAGGCCAGUCGUGGUCCUUGGUGGUGAGAGCUAGCCAGGCCGCCGGCCUUCUCCCUGGAAGCCUGCAGGGUCCCCUCUGAUCCCUGCACCUCUGGGGGGUCACACCAACUGCGGGUGUUUCCUCACCACGCUGGGCGCUUGGUGAGCACGUUCUGCCUUGAGACCUGGCAUUUCUUUGAUAACAUUUCUUCUCGUUUCCUGCUCAUUCUGGAACUCCUGUCAGUCAGAUGUUGGGCCUUUUGGAUAGAUUCUGUGAGUCCUUCUUUCUACCUUUGCUUGUAGAUAAGAUUUUCCUUGAAUCCAAACACACACACUCUCUCUGCUUUUUAAAAAAUUAGUUUUGGGGCUGGAUGUAGUGGCUUACACCUGUAGUCCCAGGCACUUUGGGAGGCCGAGGCAGGCAGAUCACUUGAGGUCAGGAGUUCCAGACCAGCCUGGCCAACAUGGUGAAACCCCGUCUCUACUAAAAAUACAAAAAGUAGCUGAAUGUGGUGGUGUGCACCUGUAAUCCCAGCUACUCAGGAGGCUGAGGCAGGAGACUGGCUUGAACCCGGGUGGCAGAGGUUGCAGUGAGCCGAAAUCACACCACUGUACUCCAGCCUGGUGACAGAGCCAGACUGUUUUAAAAUAAAUAAAAAUAAAAAAUUGGUUUUGGA
ensembl:lncRNA novel transcript